UACGGGGGGGGUAAGCGUUGUUCGGAAUUACUGGGCGUAAAGGGCUCGUAGGCGGCCAACUAAGUCGGACGUGAAAUCCCUCAGCUUAACUGGGGAACUGCGUCCGAUACUGGAUGGCUUGGAUUUGGGAGAGGGAUGCGGAAUUCCAGGUGUAGCGGUGAAAUGCGCAGAUAUCAGGAAGAACACCAAUGGCGAAGGCAGCACUCUGGGACGUGACUGACGCUGAGACGCGAAAGCGUGGGGAGCAAACAGG
rnacentral:rRNA from 1 species